AUUUAUAUAGUUUAAUUAUAAAACUUUAUUUUUUCGUAAUAAAAAUAUUAAAUUUAAUUUAUUUGUAAAUA
rnacentral:tRNA from 1 species